GCCGGGUGUGGUGGCGGGCACCUGUAAUCCCAGCUACUUGGGAGGCUGAGACAGGAGACUCGCUUGAACCCAGGAGGCGGAGGUUGCUGUGAGCCGAGAUUGUGCCACUGCACUCUAGCCUGGGUGACAGAGCAAAAUUCUGUCUCAA
ensembl:misc_RNA Metazoa_SRP Metazoan signal recognition particle RNA